AUUAAACUGAAGAGUUUGAUCAUGGCUCAGAUUGAACGUUGGCGGCACGCCUUAUACAUGCAAGUCGAACGAGAAAGUACCUUCGGGUGCGAGUACAGUGGCGGACGGGUGAGUAACGCGUAGGAAUAUACCUAGUAGUGGGGGACAACUCGGGGAAACUCGAGCUAAUACCGCAUACGCUCUACGGAGGAAAGUGGGGGAUCUUCGGACCUCACGCUAUUAGAGUAGCCUGCGUUGGAUUAGCUAGUUGGUGAGGUAAAGGCUCACCAAGGCGACGAUCCAUAGCUGGUCUGAGAGGACGAUCAGCCACACUGGAACUGAGACACGGUCCAGACUCCUACGGGAGGCAGCAGUAGGGAA
rnacentral:rRNA from 1 species